UACCGUAGCAGUGAGGGGAGUUGUUCUCAGGAAGCCAUCAGCUACAGUGUUCGUAGCCUUGUUGAAAAGUGAUAGACCCUCGCAGCUACACAGGGAUGCUAGUUGCUGUUCUCUUUUAAUGUGUGUUUGAUGCAUUGGUGCCGCUUAUAGUUUGUUUACUUUUCUUUUUGUUCCUCUAGCCUAUCGGCCUAAGUAGCUUGUGUAGGUACCACCUAUUUAAUGUGAGCCGCAGGCUAGAGUGGAUUUAUUUUUUUUUAAUUUUUUUUUUCUGUACUUCCAGUUUGUGUGUCUCCCUCCCCCCUCCACAGCUAAUAGCCUCGGUGCUUAUAAGGCCCAUUAGUACCUGACCUUGGAUAGCCGGUCUCUGUAGUUUUUCUCACUCUAGUAGCCUACAGAGAUUGCAGUGUGCAUGUAGUUUGAACUCUUAAUUGCCGUGUCACAUAUCACAGAGUGUCUUGGAUAUUGUAGUGCAUUUUCCCUGAAUCUAAACACGUGUUAUUUAGUGUGCACAAGACCACGUGUGUUAGAGACCUGGCCUGACAUCAGUUCUCCUAGUGGCCCAUUACAGAGGUUCCCCAGUCCCCCUAUUGUGUCUAUGUAUUUUUUUUUUGUAUUAUAUCUGGUGACCAACCAACGCUACUCGUGUCUACUAUUUAUUAAUAAAGACUAUUUUUAUACUUUCACCAAAAA